rnacentral:lncRNA from 1 species
AUGAAAGUUUAAAUAUUAAAAAUAGUUAAUUUGUUGGUAAAAAGGAACUAAAGAUUUAUAGUACAAACAUGACAUUUCUGAAUGACACAUUUCUUCUGGAAUUGAUUAAAUAAGUUAUUAAUGGGUAAGCCUAUGCUAGAGAAAACCAUAAAUCUGAUUGCUAUAAGAACGCAAAAAUCUGAAGUCACCGUGCCUCAGUUCUUCUCUCUACAAAAUGGAGACAUUAGGAACUACUUACUGAAUAUACUAAUCUUUUAACAGAAGUGACGUAUCUUUGAGCAUUGUUACUCAAAGCUUUGGGGGCAAGGCACAUGGGGGCUCACACUUGUAAUCCCAGCACUUUGGGAGGCUGAGGCCUGAGGAUCACUUGAGGCCAGGAGUUCAAGACCAGCCUGGGC